rnacentral:rRNA from 1 species
AUGGAGGUUCCGGAAGAUCAUAGAGUUCCUUUGGUCGCAUACAAGCUGAAAGAAGGAGCCGAUGCAUGGUGGCAUCGCGUUCAAGAAGAGAGCAGGCUGAGAGGAAAACCUCAUGUGAGAACUUGGCGGCAAAUGAAAAGUCUCUUGGAAGGAAGAUUUUUGCCUGCUGAUUAUGACCAAAUCCUAUUUAUCCAAUUUCAAAAUUGUGCUCAAGGAAAUAGGACUGUUUCAGAUUACACGGAGGAGUUUCUAAGGCUACAAGUGAGGUGCAACCUUGCUGAAACUGAAGAGCAACAAGUUGCAAGGUACAUAAAUGGUCUCAAUGAUGCUAUUCAAGAUCGAUUGAUGAUGCAACAAAUCUGGUCUGUUGAUCAAGCAAAAGCUCUAGCCUUAAAGGCCGAGAGGUUUGUGAGGAUGAGAAAGACAACUAAGGCUCCAUAUCCUCAUACCGAAGUCUCAUCUAGGAACCAACCUAAUAGAGUGGAAGAAAAGACCACUCCACCAAAGACAGAAUAG